UUCAUCGCACACUCUAGGAACAGCACAGCCAGGAGAGAUGACAGGGCUGCUUGUGGAAAUCAGCUCUCCAUGGAAACCCAUCACUUUCCACCCCGGCCCUUGUCAGCAGAGGAACGAGUAAAUGAGGAGCUGAGCAAAAAGCUUUAGCUGCACAUCUAGCAUCAGCAUGAACUGCAAAAGCGACAGCCUAGUGAUUCUGUGGAUUCUGCGACAUGCCACUUGAGAAAAAGAAGAGAGAGUGGUGGUGGCACAGGAGCAAGCUGUGUGGAGUCCAAGCCCCAGCAGAGCCAAGUGGAGUGGUGCCAGUGCUGGAGGCAGCUGUGCAAAGUUGAACCAAUGGAGUGGAUUCAUCUGAGGACAGCACGUGGGCAAGACGGAUGAUCUAGCUUCCAGGGGGUUUGUUUGAUGUAGCUCUCAUCGCUUUCUUGCAUUGAAGGGGUGUGAAGGGGAGUGGAUGCAAAUGUUAUGCCACAAAAACUUGUUUUUACAGUGGUGAAUACCCUUU